rnacentral:rRNA from 1 species
UACAGAGGGUGCAAGCGUUAUUCGGAAUUACUGGGCGUAAAGAGCGCGUAGGCGGCUCGAUAAGUCUGAUGUGAAAUCCCUGGACUCAAUUCAGGAAGUGCAUUGGAUACUGUCGAGCUAGAGUGAAGGAGAGGAAAGCGGAAUUCCCGGUGUAGAGGUGAAAUUCGUAGAUAUCGGGAGGAACAACAGAGGCGAAGGCGGCUUUCUGGACUUUAACUGACGCUGAGGCGCGAAAGCGUGGGGAGCAAACAGG